CACCACAACGCCAUCUAAAAAGAUUGAUACACAGAUCGGCCUUUGAAGAUACAAAAAUUAAUAGCUAUGCAUAAUUGCAUCGCUCAGUAUUGCGUUGCGGAAAAAGCGGUUUUUAAAGAAAACUUUGCAUCAACUUGAUUCAAAUAUCCUACGGAAAACAGAAGACAAUAGAAACAAUUUGCGUUUCGCCAUCGGAAAUUAUAAACCUGACGCAAAUAUAAGGGUUAAUGUGUCAUCAUCAUCAUCAUCAGCCUGCAUCUCUCCACUGCUGGAUGUAGGCCUCUCCCAUAGUCCGCCACAAUGAACGAUCCUCCGCCUUCCGCAUCCAAUCUCUCCCAGCAUAUCACCGCAAGUCAUCGGUCCAACGGGCAGGGGGACGCCCAACGCUGCGCUUACCGGUACGCGGUCUCCAGUCCAGAACACGUCUGCUCCAUCGGCCAUCGGUUCUGCGACACGUAUGUCCGGCCCAUUGCCACUUCAGCUUGCUAAUCUUUAGGGCUAUGUCGGUUACUUUGGUUCUUUGACGGAUUUCAUCAUUUCUGACUCGAUCCAUCAAAAAAACUCCGAGCAUACCUCUUUCCAUAGCACGCUGAGCGACUUUGAACUUACGGCCCAGACCUACGGUCAAUGUCCACGUUUCAGCGCCAUAUGUCAUGACCGGCAGUACGCAAGCGUUGAAAACUUUUGUCUUUAGGGUUAAUGUGUGUGUGUGUAUUAUAUUUUUUUAUUUUGAAAAUUUUGCUAAAUAUCCGAGCGAAGCCGGAGCGGGCCGCUAUAACAAAAUUAAAUAUUUUUAGAUUUAUUUCCGUUCUAAAGAUGAAACACCACGACGAGACUCCUACAGUCCAACUUGGAACAUGAAAUUUCAAUCCCAAUUCCUUUGGUAUAUCAACUAUCCCAUAAACCGAAACACAUCUUUGGCAUACAGUAAAAAGUAGUCAAUACAAAAUAGUCAAUACAAUGGUACUAAUCAGUCUGGGCCCACCAUACUUCCUACCCAUAAAUUAAAGUCCUUAAUUUCAUUCACACCUCGAAGUUAAUAAUCUUUCGAAACAUACAGAACCAUGCGUCGACAUUAAUCAAAUUAAGAUUCACGAGAAUGAAUAUUGUAACAUAGAUUUAUCGUGAUUCAGAAAGCGAACCAUAUUGAAUAUUCAAAAGGAAACACUAAUUCAAUUUCCCGGUCCACUCGCAGUCGCUAAUGCACAAAGUCUUCCUUUCGAAUGCAAUCUAGAAUCGAAAUGACGUUAAUAAAACGAAAAUAAAUCAA